rnacentral:rRNA from 1 species
UACAGAGGUCUCAAGCGUUGUUCGGAUUCAUUGGGCGUAAAGGGCGCGUAGGCGGCAAGGCAAGUCGGGUGUGAAAGCUUGGGGCUUAACCCCGAAAGGGCACUCGAAACUGCCCUGCUAGAGGGCCGGAGAGGAGAUCGGAAUUCACGGUGUAGCAGUGAAAUGCGUAGAGCUCGUGAGGAAGACCGGUGGCGAAGGCGGAUCUCUGGGCAUUACCUGACGCUGAGGAGCGAAAGCAUGGGGAGCGAACAGG